rfam:Gongylonema pulchrum genome assembly, scaffold: GPTH_scaffold0018829
CACAAGGCCUUUUUCGAGGCCACGAUAUUUCGAUUCCAGAUGUGU